UAUAUACCCAUUCAUGCAUAGUAGGGUAGCUACAUGUGGAACUUGGUUUGACUUCAUUUGUAUGCUUCUAACGUAGUUGAACAUAGAGAAUGAUAGAACCAAAACGGACAUGUGUGAUUGGACCCUCGAGAUGUGUGAAUGUAAGAAUGGACUUGGACAUUAGAAAACAAGGGUGUCAUUGACAUAGAAACAAGAAUUGCAUUGAGAGAUGACCGUUGAAAAUAGUUUGACCCAUAGUGACAUGGUCGAAGAUAAGGCCUUGAAAGUGGCAAAAAUAAAUAGGUAGAGACCUAUCGUGAUAUUGGCAUUGUGACUAGUGGCUAUGAAUCCUCAAGUUGAGGAUUAGAUCGACACUCACCUUUCGUCUUGGCUUGAGGGAGGUCGCUCCCCCUCGAGCGGUGCGCUCCGGAGUUGGUCACCACUGGGCGUGGUAAAGUCCCACCAGUUGACGGUCCCUAGGGAGGUUCGAGUCCCCCGUUAUUAAGGGAUUUUGGGUUGUGAGUCAUUGGGGUUAACAGAGUUAACCGGCAAGAUUGGGUAAGAGCCAAAGUUUGAUCAUGAUUGGAGCAUGCAUGCAUUUCCAUUUUUGUAUUGCAAUUGUUUAUCUACUGACUCUUUCUUGCAGGCAUAGUAUUAGUUGCAUUAGUAAUGGUUACUUUUCUUCCUUUGAAAUACUUAUGCCUGGAUAGACCUAGUGGGUAAGUCGGCGAGGUCGGAUGCCGAGCCCACUGGGAACUUCGUUGUAGUUCUCACACCACUAACCCUACAGGUCCUAGCACGAGCGGGGCGGCGGAGGACCGAGGCAAGGGUUUGGCGCCGUAGGUAGCGGCCACCGGGGACUUUAUGCAUUUUGUAGUCAUUCCCUUUUUGUUAUACAUGUAUCAACUUUAUUUUGUUGAUUUAGGUAUGUAAAGUGAAAACAAUAAUGUAAUUUGGUAGAUGACUAAAUGUAAAAAGAUAUGAUGGUUGAAUGGAAUAUAAUAGUAUUAUUUACUUGAAUUUGGUUCAAAAGAGAUCAAAUAUCAUGUGUGUUGUAUAUUUAGCUUAGAGCUUUCGCUUCCGUUGUUGCUUGCCCUCGAGUAAGCCUUGUAUUAUAUAAGCAAUUCUCUUGUUAAUUGCUUAAUUAUAUG
rnacentral:lncRNA from 1 species